GAUCCUGGCUCAGGACAACGCUGGCGGCGUGCCUAACACAUGCAAGUCGAGCGGGGACAUUGCGACGGAGGCGAAGUAUUGUACGGAGUCAAAGAUGUAAUGUCUAGCGGCGGACGGGUGAGUAACGCGUGAGCAACCUGUCCCUUACAGGGGGAUAACACAGCGAAAGUUGUACUAAUACCGCAUAAGACCACAGAGUGACAUCGCUCAGGGGUCAAAGGAGCAAUCCGGUAAGGGGUGGGCUCGCGUCCGAUUAGAUAGUUGGUGAGGUAACGGCCCACCAAGUCGACGAUCGGUAGCCGACCUGAGAGGGUGAUCGGCCACAUUGGGACUGAGACACGGCCCAAACUCCUACGGGAGGCAGCAGUGGGGAAUAUUGGGCAAUUGGGGGGAAACCCUGACCCAGCAACGCCGCGUGAGGGAAGAAGGUUUUCGGAUCGUAAACCUCUGUCCCAGGUGAAGAGGAAGAGACGGUAGCCUGGGAGGAAGCCCCGGCUAACUACGUGCCAGCCGCUGC
rnacentral:rRNA from 1 species